AAAAUCCCUCCCACCUUCCUGCGGGACCAAAACGUCGCCGGGACUGCUGACAGGGAUCUGCAUGGGGAGGUCUGAACGUGGCCACUUCUCUCUCACCGAGGAGCCCAGGGCAGGGAGGGAGGGGCGUGCCGGACGGAACUUGCAACGCUGAGAGAGAGCGAGCGAGCAAGAGAGUGCACAUGUGUACGCAAGCAAGGGAAGGGCAGAGAGAAAGGAAGAGAGAAUCCCCAGCAGGCUCUGCACUGUCAGCCCAGAGCCUGGUGGGGGCCUCGAACUCAUGAACCGCAAGAUCACGACCUGAGCCGAAAUCAAGAGUCAAACGUUCAACUGACUGAGCCACCCAGGCGCCCCAAAUAAGAUUCUUAUCCCUGAAAUAAUCAGAGUGUUAUUU
rnacentral:lncRNA from 1 species